AAUUCCAAGUCUUGCACCCGGGUUCAAACAUAUGCAACCCAAGAACCUGCUAAAGAAAUCAGUGUAUCCUCAAACCCAACGCACCGUCGCCAAUCAACGCGGCAUACUGAGAAAACUUUCAAAUGUUCAAUUCAAAAUACCUCCUUUCGAAAUUCAAGUAAACAAUCGAUGGCAAGAACAAGACACCGUGAAUCAACAUCGACAUCAUAACCAAUGGAGGUUCUUUCUCGCGCGUAAAUCGAAGAAGUCGGAGGGAGAGAUAUUUACCGAUUGAUUCCGGUGCGGUGGCUAUGGGUAACCUAUUCCUUCAGUACUCUUCUUUGCGCCUUCAAUUUCACUUCUGUUACUUUAUCGUUUGUGUUGCCGACAUUGCAUGGAGAUAAGGACGAACAUGUUCGUAUUCGUGUACCGCGUUGGAAAUAUGAUGAGAUCUGUGGUUGAAGCAGUGAAUUAAUUUCUUCAUGAAUCGUUUGUUGAAGGAUUCACGAUGAUACACAUCGAAGAGUUUCGUUCCCUCCUCUCCAAGAAAUGCCUGAGUUUUCGGAUCAUUUGGUUUGCACUUGCAGGUAGGUUCGUUCAUUGGACAUGCUAUUGAUGUAAUGUAUGGUGAAGAAAAAACAAAGUGAGUAUGCUUCAACAAUGAAAGUUCAAGGUUAACAAAGAGUGACAAAGAAGCAUUUGAAUUCAGCGUUUUCUCAAGUGAUUUGCUGAUUCUUGAAUCUCUGCCAGCAUUAUUGUAACUUGAGGUGAAAGAUCAAGCUCUUUUUUCAAGAACCUUCUUUUCAAUUCUGAAAUGGAUCUUAGUUCUUCCACCACCUCUCGAUCCGCUUCUUGAAUUGGGUCAUUGUUGUAUGGAAUUGGAAUUAAACGAUGUAGUGAAAUUGAAUGUUGAUUUAUAAAUGGAAAAAUUGGAAUGUAUGCUA